rnacentral:rRNA from 1 species
GACGAACGCUGGCGGCAUGCCUUACACAUGCAAGUCGAACGGCAGCGGACCUUCGGGUGCCGGCGAGUGGCGAACGGGUGAGUAAUGCAUCGGAACGUGCCAUUGAGUGGGGGGAUAACGUAGCGAAAGUUGCGCUAAUACCGCAUAUUCUGUGAGCAGGAAAGCAGGGGACCGCAAGGCCUUGCGCUCUUUGAGCGGCCGAUGUCAGAUUAGCUAGUUGGUGAGGUAACGGCUUACCAAGGCGACGAUCUGUAGCGGGUCUGAGAGGAUGAUCCGCCACACUGGAACUGAGACACGGUCCAGACUCCUACGGGAGGCAGCAGUGGGGAAUUUUGGACAAUGGGGGAAACCCUGAUCCAGCGACGCCGCGUGGGUGAAGAAGGCCUGCGGGUUGUAAAGCCCUUUCGGUAGGGACGAAAGCUCUCGACCUAACACGUCGGGAGGUUGACUUAACCUACAGAAGAAGCACCGGCUAACUCUGUGCCAGCAGCCG